UGGGGAAUUUUGGACAAUGGGGGCAACCCUGAUCCAGCAAUGCCGCGUGUGUGAAGAAGGCCUUCGGGUUGUAAAGCACUUUUGUCCGGAAAGAAAUCGCCUGGGUUAAUACCCUGGGUGGAUGACGGUACUGGAAGAAUAAGCACCGGCUAACUACGUGCCAGCAGCCGCGGUAAUACGUAGGGUGCGAGCGUUAAUCGGAAUUACUGGGCGUAAAGCGUGCGCAGGCGGUUGUGCAAGACAGAUGUGAAAUCCCCGGGCUUAACCUGGGAAUGGCAUUUGUGACUGCACGGCUAGAGUGUGUCAGAGGGGGGUAAAAUUCCACGUGUAGCAGUGAAAGUGCGUAGAUAUGUGGAGGAACACCGAUGGCGAAGGCAGCCCCCGUGGGAUAACACUGACGCUCAUGCACGAAAGCGUGGGGAGCAAACAGGAUUAGAUACCCUGGUAGUCCACGCCCUAAAGNGAUGUCAACUAGUUGUCGGGGAAUUAAUUUCCUUGGUAACGCAGCUAACGCGUGAAGUUGACCGCCUGGGGGAGUACGGUCGCAAGAUU
rnacentral:rRNA from 1 species